UAGAAGUGUUAGAAGUUAAUUAAUUAGCAAUAGACAUGCUUAGCUAGCAACAAUUUCUGUUCUGUGUCCGAGAGCGUGGGCCCUGCAAAGCAAUCCCUCCCUGAGCACCACAGCAGCACACUGAGCCGAAGCCACCUGCCCAGAGCAGCUUGUUGGCCAACUGGGAGAGAAACCCAAGGCCAGAGCUGCUCUGAGCAAAUGUUUGGCACACGCGAGGGCUUCACUCUGCCCUGUGGUCCGAAUGGGGAGAGCAAACGGAGAAAUGGGGGAUUUUUCUGGCGCUGUGGCAAGGAUAAUCCUUGGGAACCAGUCCCAGGCUUAGCCCCUGUGCUGUAAAUCCCCAGGCUCUUCUCUAGCCAAGCGAUGUUGGCAAAUACUGUGGGGAGGUGAUUGUAUAACAGAGAUCACUAAUCUUUUCCAAAGCUUCCCAGAGAGCCCCAUCUCGCCCCGCUGUCCUUCAGGAGCGAGGAGGGCAGAGAGCAGUGUCCCCGUGCUCUUGACAUUCAUCGCUUUUGCCACUUCCAAAGUACUCUCUCGUCAGCCUUUCUGUCUUUUCCCUGUGCGGGGAGUCCUGGUUCCGGGACUGGGGGUCUUUGCUGUGAUCCAAGAGCAAUUCUACAGCAAAGAAGAGGCGGUUUUGGUUCGAAGGCCUGUCUUCCAGAUGGACCUCGGUGUGCUGUGGCUGCAGGACAUCCAGUCUCCCAAGGAGAUCGUCCCUGACUGUGUCAAGAUUGAGCCACCGCCUUCCCGCUGCACGUGGUGCAGCUCUGUGUGCAAGAGACCAUCCUCUUGUACUGCCUCUUCCUGAAGAACAAGGUGCACGUCUCGUUUGCCUUCAAGGACUUGGGCGUUCUGACGUGCAAAGAUGACUUCCUCUGCAUGAGGUUCUACUACAGCUGCAUUGCUAUGCUGGAGAGCAAUGCAGGACCGAUUGCGGCGCUCCACAGCAGAAUUUGGCCGGAACAUUCUGCUGACUUCAGCCCAGAAACCACCGCUCACGGGAUCCAGGUGUUCCCGAGGUGAGUGCGUUUCCUCUGCAGCCCUUAGCUGACCAGGUGAGAGGCUUCCUUCCCACCUCCUCCUUUGGAACGUGUCCUCUUGGGUCUCCACGCUCAGCAGCCAGUCGGGGAGAAAUCCUGAGAAGUCUGGCUCCUGGUUCACUACUGCUGCCGUUUGGCUGUGUGUGUCUUUACCCGGAGUGACGGGGAAUCACGGUUGUGUUUCUGGUGCUCAACCUGUCCGGAUUCCCAUCAGAGAGAACUGGCUGCACAUGGAGAGGAAUUAGGGCUAUGUGUGCUGGUUUGGCAUGGACGGGAAGGAAAAGGGGUGCCGUGCUUUGCAUAACACAUAGAUAAACGCUGCCAACGAGCUGCGUGGGGUAGGAUGUCACCCUUCUUCAAGGGUGUGUUUCUCUUUGUUUCCAGGUUUCAGCUCACCGUGAGAAAGAGUAGAGCAGAGGCCGCCUCUGACGGCGAAGCCGCGGGCGAGGAUGAGAUCAGCAGAGUUCCAGGGGGCCCUGCCAUCAGGCUGCUGCAGAGGCAGAAGAUGCUUCCCCUCUCCAUGCUGCUGAGCUGCGAGCCAGGCACGAGGCAGCAGGAUGCGGCCAAGAAGCCUUCUGCCAGGUGAGAGCCUUGGGCAAAAAGAGGAAGGAGAUGCGUGAGCUCAUGUCGGAGUCACCUCCCCUUUGGACCUGCCAGCUCUGGGGACUCAGAAAGCCUCCUGACACACAUGCGUCCCAGUGGAGGCCGUUCUCUCAAGGGAUGGCAAGCGCACAGCAUGAUUGCCCGAGGCAGACACGCCAGCUUCAUUUUCCACCCCGGUCCCCCAUCUCUGGGGGAGCUGAAUCCCGAUCCCAGUGGGUCGCAGAAGCUCUUCUCCCUUCAGGGGUCUCUCCACAUUGCAACGGAGCCCAUCUUUAUGGUUGUGGGAGCACGAGAGGAGACCAAGGUGCCCCGGGCUCCUGCACACUCCUCUUGGUGUCUGUUUGCAGCGUGCUCCCACCGUGCACAGGCAGAUCCCCCAGGACAAAGAAAGCGGGACAAAAGGAACCAGCUCCUCCAGCCCAGCCCAGCGCAGCACUCCCUGCAACAGAAGACUCUAAGAGAGCGCUGCAGGAGCUCCGGGAAGUGUCUGCACUGGGGUACAAAGCGGACCGCUUGCGGCCUGUGUACCGGCAGCGGAUCCAAGAAGCACAGGCUGAAAGGGCUGCGUGGGAAGACUGGAGUGCAGGGAAGGACUGGCAGCCACCCCAGGUAGUGACAGGGAUUGACCCUGCUGACAACAGCCGCCAUCCUCUGCGCCACAGGGUGAGGUUGGCAGGGCUCAGUGGGUGGGAGGAGGACAGGCCCCAAGCAGCAGGGCAGGGGCUGGCCUGCUCCUCCCUGGGAGGAGGGCUUGGCACCAGCCCCUGAGGGAGAAAGGCAGCGGGCAGCCAUGGGAUGCAGGGCCAAGACCUCUGCUUGCCAGGGCCUGCUGCAGGGCCCUUGCCAGAUGGCCUCUGGAAACAGCCCCGUGCUCCCAGCCAGCUUUGCAGACACUGCCUGCUCCUUGACAGCAGUUCCCCAGGGCCAGCAUGUGGGCUCCGCAUCCUCCGACCCAGCCCAGGGGACAGCAGGUGGGGAAGAGGUGGAGGAAGGCUGAGGCUCCUGUGCUGGGAAAUGAAAUGGGAGCAGCAACCAGGCUGGUUCUGCAGGCUCUGUUUGCUGCCUGAGGCACUCGGGCAGCUGUGAUGACCCUGCAGCUCAGGGACGGCCCCGGCCCAGGCCAAAAACUGCUGGUGGGGUGAAAGGCUUGGGACACGCGGCACCACGGGGCUGCGGGGCUGGGUGAGGGGAGAGGCAGAGGGGGCUCAGCAGAGCCUGAGGGAUGCCUUUCUCCUCCUGUGGCAGCCUCCUUUCCCCACGAGCGGCACAGGUGCUCAGAAGGCCGGAGCCGCACCUCCACCAGCAGGAGGCUUUUGGCAGCACUGCAGAGGGAAACAGCAGGAGGCUUUCAGCAGCACUGCUCUCUAGCAGCUUCUGCACCGCUGCCUUUGCUCACUGUAUUGAAGUGGUAACAUUCUUCUCCCAGUCAAGACAGCAAAAACCUGGGACUCUACCACUCUCAGGGUGUUAUUGCUGUCCAUAACCCCUUUAGUUCAUGCAAUGCCAAAUAAGCAGAGUGAUAACAGAUCUCCUACCGCAGACAAAGCUAGGCAAAUAGUACUGCCCGUACUGUUGGUGUGUGUCGUUAAAUUUGUGAAUAUUUGCCACAAAUUUUGUGCAGAACAGCUGGCAAGCAGAAGCAGAAUCGUUGUUGCCAUCGCCGUUCUCCUCGCCAUUCUCCUCGCACACUGUCGUGAGAGGGGUAUGAUCAGUCGGGUGCUUUGAGCAUUGCUGGUGCUGGUGAUGCUACUGGCGCCGGCUUAGCCCAUCAGGCAGGAAGUCAACGCGGGCCUGCCGGUGUCCCCAUGCACGCAUAGCCACGCCCCGUAACAAGGAGAGGGCACGGUUCAGGAUGCCAUGGCCCGCCAUCAGGCUGUAUAAGAACCGUCCCAAUGGGAAGGCGCUCCGUUAAAUGAUGGUCUGUGGCUCACCGCUCUAGGUGAUCCAAGCUGUACAAUGCGCAUAACAGCAAAGCGUGAGGGCAUAACUCUGGUCCGGCUAACCCUCCCCCCUCUUUAAAGG